CCAGACUCCUACGGGAGGCAGCAGUAGGGAAUCUUGCACAAUGGGCGAAAGCCUGAUGCAGCAACGCCGCGUGCAGGAAGAAGGCCUUCGUUAUGUAAACCUCUUUUAUCAGGGAGGAAUAUGACGGUAACUUAUUAAUAAGGCUCGGCUAACUACGUGCCAGCAGCCGCGGUCAUACGUAGGAUGCGAGCAUUAUCCGGAUUUACUGGGUGUAAAGAGUGCGUAGACGGAAAGACAAGUCUGGAGUGAAAGCCCGGGGCCCAACCACGGGACUGCUUUGGAAACUGUGUUGCUGGAGUGCAGGAGGGGUAAGCGGAAUUCCUAGUGUAGCGGUGAAAUGCGUAGAUAUUAGGAGGAACACCGGUGGCGAAGGCGGCUUACUGGACUGUAACUGACGUUGAGGCUCGAAGGCGUGGGGAGCAAACAGGAUUAGAUACCCGAGUA
rnacentral:rRNA from 1 species